AUUGAACGCUGGCGGCAUGCCUUACACAUGCAAGUCGAACGGCAGCACGGGGCAACCUGGUGGCGAGUGGCGAACGGGUGAGUAAUGCAUCGGAACGUACCUUUCAGGGGGGGAUAACGUAGCGAAAGUUACGCUAAUACCGCAUAUUCUGUGAGCAGGAAAGCAGGGGAUCGCAAGACCUUGCGCUGAUUGAGCGGCCGAUAUCAGAUUAGCUAGUUGGGGAGGUAAAGGCUCACCAAGGCGACGAUCUGUAGCGGGUCUGAGAGGAUGAUCCGCCACACUGGAACUGAGACACGGUCCAGACUCCUACGGGAGGCAGCAGUGGGGAAUUUUGGACAAUGGGGGCAACCCUGAUCCAGCCAUGCCGCGUGAGUGAAGAAGGCCUUCGGGUUGUAAAGCUCUUUCGGCCGGGAAGAAAUCGUAUCAGCUAAUACCUGGUGCGGAUGACGGUACCGGCAUAAGAAGCACCGGCUAAUUACGUGCCAGCCGCCGCGGUAAGAC
rnacentral:rRNA from 1 species